rnacentral:rRNA from 1 species
UAGGGAAUCUUCGGCAAUGGACGAAAGUCUGACCGAGCAACGCCGCGUGAGUGAAGAAGGUUUUCGGAUCGUAAAACUCUGUUGGUAGAGAAGAACGUUGGUGAGAGUGGAAAGCUCAUCAAGUGACGGUAACUACCCAGAAAGGGACGGCUAACUACGUGCCAGCAGCCGCGGUAAUACGUAGGUCCCGAGCGUUGUCCGGAUUUAUUGGGCGUAAAGCGAGCGCAGGUGGUUUAUUAAGUCUGGUGUAAAAGGCAGUGGCUCAACCAUUGUAUGCAUUGGAAACUGGUAGACUUGAGUGCAGGAGAGGAGAGUGGAAUUCCAUGUGUAGCGGUGAAAUGCGUAGAUAUAUGGAGGAACACCGGUGGCGAAAGCGGCUCUCUGGCCUGUAACUGACACUGAGGCUCGAAAGCGUGGGGAGCAAACAGGAUUAGAUAGC